rnacentral:rRNA from 1 species
UACGUAGGGUGCGAGCGUUAAUCGGAAUUACUGGGCGUAAAGCGUGCGCAGGCGGGCUUUUAAGCCAGACGUGAAAUCCCCGGGCUUAACCUGGGAAUGGCGUUUGGGACUGGGAGUCUGGAGUGCGGCAGAGGAGACUGGAAUUCCUGGUGUAGCAGUGAAAUGCGUAGAUAUCAGGAGGAACACCGAUGGCGAAGGCAGGUCUCUGGGCUGACACUGACGCUCAUGCACGAAAGCGUUGGGGAGCAAACAGG